rfam:Ipomoea nil DNA, scaffold: scaffold2701, cultivar: Tokyo-kokei standard.
GUCGUUGUAGUAUAGUGGUGAGUAUCCCCGCCUAUCACGCGAGAGACCCGGGUUCGAUCCCCGGCAACGGCG